CAGCCGCCGCGGUAAUACGUAGGUGGCAAGCGUUGUCCGGAAUUAUUGGGCGUAAAGCGCGCGCAGGCGGAUAGGUCAGUCUGUCUUAAAAGUUCGGGGCUUAACCCCGUGAUGGGAUGGAAACUGCCAAUCUAGAGUAUCGGAGAGGAAAGUGGAAUUCCUAGUGUAGCGGUGAAAUGCGUAGAUAUUAGGAAGAACACCAGUGGCGAAGGCGACUUUCUGGACGAAAACUGACGCUGAGGCGCGAAAGCCAGGGGAGCGAACGGGAUUAGAUACCCCAGUAGUCCCUGUCUCUUAUACA
rnacentral:rRNA from 1 species